AGAAAGAAAGAAAGAAAGAAAGAAAAGAAAGAAAGAAAGAGAAAGAAAGAAAGAAAGAAAGAAAGAAAGAAAGAAAGAAAGAAAGAAAGAAAGAAAAUUGUAUCCUGUUCCACCAGAUGUUACUGGUGUCCUCCCACCUUGGACCACCCUGGAGGUCACUUGCAAGCAGCUCCCUCUUACACCAACAACUGCCUUCAGCCCUCUGGAUCAGUUUCCUAGCUCCCCUCUGCACCAACAACUGCCUUCGGCUCUGACUAUAUUAGUCCAAGUGGAGACAGAGCAGGGAGUCGCUGUCUGCAAUCUGGAAGAGGGUCUCACCAGGACCGGAUCAUGCUGGCACCCUGAUCUUGGACUUCUAACCUCCUGUUCUUACCCUGCCUGAUUCAUGGAAUCUUUCGGUUUUACAUGCUUCAUUCAACUGAUGGGCAAAAAUUAAUAAAUGCUUCUAUGGGAUGCCUGGG